rnacentral:rRNA from 2 species
CGCGGCCUAUCAGCUUGUUGGUGAGGUAACGGCUCACCAAGGCAAUGACGGGUAGCUGGUCUGAGAGGACGAUCAGCCACACUGGAACUGAGAUACGGUCCAGACUCCUACGGGAGGCAGCAGGAGGGAAUCUUGCGCAAUGGGCGAAAGCCUGACGCAGCGACGCCGCGUGGGGGAUGAAUGCCUUAGGGUUGUAAACCCCUUUCACGAGGGAAGAAACUGACGGUACCUCGAGAAGAAGCCCCGGCCAACUACGUGCCAGCAGCCGCGGUAAUACGUAGGGGGCGAGCGUUGUCCGGAUUUAUUGGGCGUAAAGGGCUCGUAGGCGGCUUGGCAAGUCGGCCGUGAAAACCCAGGGCUCAACUCUGGGACGCCGGUCGAUACUGCCAUGGCUAGGGUCCGGUAGAGGGGAAUGGAAUUCCCGGUGUAGCGGUGAAAUGCGCAGAUAUCGGGAGGAACACCAGUAGCGAAGGCGGUUCCCUGGGCCGGCACCGACGCUGAGGAGCGAAAGCGUGGGGAGCAAACAGGAUUAGAUACCCUGGUAGUCCACGCCGUAAACGUUGGGUACUAGGCGUGGCGUCUUAUCAACGGAUGCCGUGCUCGAAGCUAACGCGUUAAGUACCCCGCCUGGGGAGUACGG